CGGGGAAGUGCUUGAAACGCAGGAAGAAAAAGCUGCUAAGGAGGAGCGAACAAGACAAUUAGUUGCUGCUUACAACACUAAAAUGGGCUUGAACAUUGAUCCCAAGCUCAGAUUGGACAGUGAGAAGACAUUAAAGGAUGGUGACUCAUUGAUGAACGUCGGAAAGCUGAAGGAAGCAUUACCCUACUAUGAGAAAGUUAUGGAUAAGUUACCAUUCAAGG